rnacentral:misc_RNA from 1 species
GAUGAAGAACGCAGCGAAAUGCGAUACUUGGUGUGAAUUGCAGAAUCCCGUGAACCAUCGAGUCUUUGAACGCAAGUUGCGCCUCAAGCCAUUAGGUUGAGGGCACGUCUGCCUGGGCGUCACAUAUCGUUGCCUGAUGCCAGUUUCCUCGUGAUGGGUGACUGUGCAGGGCGAAUGAUGGCUUCCCGUGAGCAUUGUUGCCUCAUGGUUGGUUGAAAAUUGAGUCCGUGGUAGGGAGCGCCGUGAUAGAUGGUGGUUGAGUGACGAACGAGACCCAAUCAUGUGAGACCCCUACCGAAUUUGGCCUUCAUGACCCACAUGCGUCUUUGGAACGCUGAUGACGAGACCUCAGGUCAGGCGGGGCUACCCGCUGAGUUUAAGCAUAUCAAUAAGCGGAGGA